CGGCGGCGGCGGCGGCUGCGACUGCGACUGCGACCUGGGCGAGCGCAGGCGUGUGACCGGCCUCCUCGGGGCCGCGGUGCAUGGUCUCUAAGAUGAUCAUUGAAAACUUCGAGGCACUCAAGUCCUGGCUCAGCAAGACCCUCGAGCCCAUCUGUGAUGCCGAUCCAUCAGCCCUAGCAAAAUAUGUUUUAGCUCUGGUAAAGAAAGACAAAAGUGAGAAGGAAUUAAAGGCAUUAUGCAUUGAUCAGCUCGAUGUAUUUCUUCAGAAAGAGACACAAAUAUUUGUGGAAAAACUUUUUGAUGCUGUGAACACAAAGAGUUAUCUACCUCCUCCAGAGCAGCCAUCGUCAGGAAGCCUGAAGGUAGACUUUCUUCAGCACCAAGAAAAAGAUAUAAAAAAAGAAGAGCUCACAAAGGAGGAAGAGCGAGAGAAGAAGUUUUCCAGAAGGCUAAAUCAUAGUCCUCCCCAGUCAAGCUCCCGAUACAGAGACAAUAGAAGCCGUGAUGAGAGGAAAAAAGACGAUCGUUCUCGAAAAAGAGAUUAUGAUCGAAACCCUCCUCGAAGAGAUUCAUACAGAGACCGGUAUAACAGAAGGCGAGGGAGAAGUCGCAGUUACAGCAGGAGUCGGAGUCGAAGUUGGAGUAAAGAGAGGCUUCGCGACAGGGAUAGAGAUAGAAGCAGGACGAGGAGCAGAAGCAGGACACGAAGCCGGGAAAGGGAUCUGGUGAAACCUAAAUAUGACCUGGACAGAACAGAUCCACUAGAAAAUAAUUAUACACCAGUCUCUUCAGUAUCUAAUAUUUCAUCUGGCCACUAUCCUGUACCGACUUUGAGCAGCACCAUUACUGUAAUCGCUCCUACUCAUCAUGGUAAUAACACUACCGAAAGUUGGUCUGAAUUUCAUGAAGACCAGGUAGAUCACAACUCUUAUGUAAGGCCACCAAUGCCAAAGAAGCGGUGUAGAGAUUAUGAUGAAAAGGGGUUUUGUAUGAGAGGAGACAUGUGUCCUUUUGAUCAUGGAAGUGACCCAGUCGUGGUAGAAGAUGUGAACCUGCCUGGGAUGUUGCCUUUCCCAGCACAGCCACCUGUUGUGGAAGGACCACCUCCUCCUGGACUUCCUCCACCUCCUCCAAUUCUUACACCCCCACCUGUGAAUCUUAGACCCCCAGUGCCACCUCCAGGUCCAUUACCACCCAGUCUGCCACCUGUCACAGGACCACCUCCUCCACUUCCUCCUUUACAGCCAUCUGGCAUGGAUGCGCCACCCAACUCUGCAACCAGCUCUGUUCCUACUGUAGUAACAACUGGCAUUCAUCACCAGCCUCCUCCUGCUCCACCCUCUCUUUUUACUGCAGUUUUUGUGUUACCAGAUACAUAUGACACCGAUGGCUACAAUCCUGAAGCACCAAGCAUAACAAACACUUCCAGACCGAUGUAUAGACACAGAGUGCAUGCGCAAAGGCCUAACUUGAUAGGACUAACAUCAGGGGAUAUGGAUUUACCACCUAGAGAAAAGCCUCCUAAUAAAAGCAGCAUGAGGAUAGUAGUGGAUUCAGAAUCAAGGAAAAGAACCAUUGGGUCUGGGGAACCUGGAGUUUCUACAAAGAAGACGUGGUUUGACAAACCAAAUUUUAAUAGGACAAACAGCCCCGGUUUCCAGAAGAAGGUUCAGUUUGGAAACGAAAAUACUAAACUUGAACUUAGGAAAGUUCCUCCAGAAUUAAAUAAUAUCAGCAAACUUAAUGAACAUUUUAGUCGAUUUGGAACACUGGUUAACUUACAGGUUGCCUAUAAUGGUGAUCCUGAAGGUGCACUUAUCCAAUUUGCAACUUAUGAAGAAGCAAAGAAAGCAAUCUCAAGUACAGAAGCGGUAUUGAAUAACCGCUUUAUUAAGGUUUACUGGCACAGAGAAGGAACUACUCAGCAGUUACAGACCACUUCACCAAAGCCGUUAGUUCAGCAGCCUAUUUUACCUGCUGUGAAACAGUCCGUCAAAGAGCGGUUGGGUCCUGUGCCUUCAAGUACUGUUGAACCGGCCGAAGCCCAGAGUGCUACUUCCCAGCUUCCCCAGAAUGUAACUAAGUUAUCUGUGAAGGACAGGUUGGGUUUUGUAUCAAAGCCAUCUGUUUCAGCAACUGAAAAGGUGUUGUCUACAUCUACUGGCCUUACAAAAACGGUGUAUAAUCCAGCUGCUUUGAAGGCUGCACAAAAAACUUUACUAGUUUCUACUUCUGCAGUUGAUAAUAAUGAAGCACAGAAAAAGAAACAGGAGGCACUGAAACUUCAGCAGGAUGUAAGAAAAAGGAAGCAGGAAAUUUUAGAAAAGCACAUUGAAACACAGAAGAUGCUUAUUUCAAAACUGGAGAAAAACAAAACAAUGAAGUCUGAAGAUAAAGCAGAAAUAAUGAAAACAUUAGAGGUUUUGACAAAAAAUAUUACCAAGUUGAAAGAUGAGGUUAAAGCUACAUCUCCUGGACGCUGCCUUCCAAAAAGUAUAAAAACGAAGACUCAGAUGCAGAAAGAAUUGCUUGACACAGAAUUGGAUUUAUAUAAGAAGAUGCAGGCUGGAGAAGAAGUCACUGAACUUAGGAGAAAGUAUACAGAAUUACAGCUAGAGGCUGCUAAAAGAGGAAUUCUUUCAUCUGGCCGAGGUAGAGGGAUUCAUACAAGAGGUCGAGGUGCAGCUCAUGGCCGGGGCAGGGGUAGAGGUCGAGGACGAGGUGUACCUGGACAUGCUGUGGUGGAUCAUCGACCCAGAGCAUUGGAGAUUUCUGCAUUUACAGAGAGUGAUAGAGAAGAUCUUCUUCCUCAUUUUGCGCAAUAUGGGGAAAUUGAGGAUUGUCAGAUUGACGACUCUUCACUUCAUGCGAUAAUUACAUUCAAGACAAGAGCAGAAGCAGAAGCUGCUGCAAUUCAUGGAGCUCGUUUCAAAGGGCAGGAUUUAAAACUGGCAUGGAAUAAACCAAUAACUAAUAUUUCAGCUGUGGAAACGGAAGAAGUUGAACCUGAUGAAGAGGAAUUUCAGGAAGAGUCUUUGGUGGAUGACUCAUUACUUCAAGAUGAUGAUGAAGAAGAAGAGGACAAUGAAUCUCGUUCUUGGAGAAGAUGAUUUGACUGAUCAUUGAUCUGCAUAUGCUAGAACUCUACCUGUGUUUCAUUAGUAUUAUCUAAUGUACUUUUACAUAUUUGUAAAAACAAUUUUUGGUAAAAUAUGAUGAAGAUGGAUUUCAAAAAUAGAUAAAAGAGAAGAAAACUACCUUCUGAUCUUGUAUUUUGAAAGAUUGAUGUUUGCAUUUUAUUUCAGUAAACAAUUGCUAAAGACAUCACAAUAGAACAUAUGCAAUGUUUUUAUUACAUACUUCUAUUGAACAUUACAGAAUUCUUUGGGUUGUUUGUAAAUUAAUGAAUAGAUUUGAAUACUUAUGACCCAAUACUUGUUAUAACAUAGAAGAUUUUGUUUUACUCCAAAUAAGGAAUGAAUUUGCAUUUAAAAUCUUAAUGAAUGUUUUCAAAAAUGAAUAGAUGACAUAGUACCCUAAAGUCUCCAAGUUAUGUAUUCAUAAUAUUACAUAGUAGUAUGCUUAGGCUUUACUAUGUAUUAGCCAUUUGUUGGAUUUGUGUAUGUAUUUUAUCACAUGGGUGUUAAUGAUAAUGGUGUAUGACUGCUUUACGUGAGUUCUUAUGCAUCUGGAUGCUAAAAAUAAAGUGGAAUGGUCUCUUAAAAGAAAAAAAAAGAAAAAAAAAGCAAUGAAAAAAAAAUCCAUGACAAUGUUCCUUGAUUUAAAAAAAAAAAAAAAGAAAAAGAAAAAGAAAAGAAAAAAGAAAAAAAAAGAAAAAAAGAGAGAAAAUGAAACAGACCAUUCCAGAUGGUGAUCUGCCUUCCCCCUAACUAUCAAAAGGAGCUAUAAUCACUAAAUAAUAAUGGUUACUGGUACCUUUGUAAUGAUGUACAAUCCAAUGUUUAAAAUUUAUACCACUUCAGUUUGGUUUGAUCAUAUAAAUUUUCAACAGAUGUCUUAAAAUUUAAAAGCAGGCUGAUUAGUUUGGAACCAGACUUCAAGUAGCGCUAACAUUUGGUGAAUAAGACAACUUCAUAUUACAUUUUGGAUGUAUGAAAGAAAACUUGACCAUUUGAAGAUGUAUGAAUAAAGAAAUGUACUAUAGAUACUACUUUAGGAAAACACUGUUUGUAGUCGUGAAAGAUGCCAAAUUGGCAGAGGCUCACGUUUCUUCUCUUUACACCAAACAGCAGAGAGAGAACAUCACUGCCUGAAUUUAGCUUUGUGACUACAUGAGCAAGCCCUGUCCUGUCCUGUUGUCGGAGAUGACUGUUAAUAUCACCAUCCUGUCAUUUGGUUUGCCCUUUUCCAAUCUGAGCAGAUGUUUACAUGUACUGUGAUGACCAUUUUAUCUUUCCAGUCUGUACGAGUACAUCUCGGCCCAGAGGUGUUAUCAAAUGUGUGAAGUUUCUGACCUUACUCAUAAAUGUUUUCUUUCCUUAUUUUAUAGCAAUUUAAUUUGUAAAACACCCUAAGAAGAAACAAGGACUUUUAGUUUCCGUAUGAGAUAUAUUACAUGGCAGCCAAACUGAGAAUUGUGUCUGGGAAAUCUAUAAAGCCACGAGAGCAUUAAUUGAACAGUUUAGAAUGAAGAAAAUGAAUUAAAAAGUUAAACAUAAGUUUGGCUUUAAUUUUUCUUAUUUUUAGGAUGUAUUUAUUGAAUUAGGAUAGCCACUAAAAAUAAUUUUGAGAAACUAUAAAGUACUUUUCACAUAUUGUAAUGAAUUUGUCUGUUCUUGUGAGUGUAUUCAUUCAUUCAUGUGAUUGCCAGGGCGACUUACUCCAGUGAACCUUUUGUUGUUACUCUUAACUCUUCAAAAACAAGGAAAAUAAUUUUAUUUCUUUUCAAGUAAUAAAUGAUGACCUAUGGGUUCUAAAAUUGAACAUCUACUAAAUUUGUCUAAUUUAUCCAGUUUUCAUCACUUGUAAUCAAGACAUCAAAGACAAUCUUACAAGCAAGGGGAAAUAGUGUUACGUGUUUUUUUAAAGACUAGUUUUCAGCUGCUUUGAAAGUGUAUGUGUGAAUAGUAAGCAAUAUAGCUUAAACUUAGAAAGUGGACAAUUAAAAUUCUCAUUCUAAAUAUUAACAAAGUCUUUUUUAUAGCACACUAGAAUUAUUUUUUCACUAAGUUAUUUUGAGUAUUCACCCAUAGAUUCUUAUAGGUAUUUGAGAAAUCUAACAUAGCCAUUCUUAGAAAAAUCCAAAUUAUAUUGAUUCUGCCUUUUUUUCCUUUCUUUUUUUAAUUUCUACUCAGUCAUACUUUCUUAUACAAAGCUGUUAUCCUACAAACACUUUUUCCCUCUUGAAUAUGCAUUGUGGUUGUCUUCAUGAAUAAUAAAAUGUAAAAAACUCAUUAGUCAUGUUAUAAAUUAUCUGUCUUGAUCCACAUUGAUUAUACAUGCAUGGUUAAAGGAAAAGCAUGUAUUUUAAGUAAUUAUUGCCACCUAAUAGCCUACAAGGCAUUUUGUUUGUUUACCCCCCCUCCCCAGACACACUUUUUUGUU